CAAAUAACUAAUUUUAUUAUAUUUUAAUUUCGUGCCAAUAGAACAAACUCAACAACAACUGAACAAAGUUGUCUUGCACUAGCUGGCUACUACUGACUAGCUAGCAGUCUGGUGAGCUAGCCCUACCUGGCUACUGGCUGUAGUCAUACUAGCUAGUGUAAGUAAGUUAGUCCCUUCACAUGCUACAAGAUGAAUGCCAGGACAGUUAUCUGCUGAAGAAAGGACCUUUCACAUAGUUCAGUCACUCAGCCUUAUACAGUGGACGUGAUACUCUCAAGAUCCUGCACUACUGCCUCCCACAACACCAUGAGGAGAAGCAAUAAGCCUGUCCCCAUGACUGCCUGUAUGAGGGACAACUGGAUAGAAGGCUUGGACUUCAUCUGAGACCUUCAUCUCCUUCCCCAUCCUUCAAGGAAAGCUUUUCUUUACAUUUCCUGUUAGGCAUGAUGCAGGUGUGUCUCUCCAUCUCGCUCAUGUCAUGUGGUAUUACCUAUAGAUGACUACUAGACACUUUCAAAUUGUUUGCCUGUGAAUGGUUGUCCACAUCAGGCUAUUUACAGUGCAUUCGGAAAGUAUUCAGACCCCUUCCCUUUUUCCAAAUUUGGUACAUUACAGCCUUAUUCUAAAAUGUUCCUCAUCAAUGUACACACUGUGACAAAUCGAAAACAGAUUUUUUUAAAUGUUUGCAAAUGUAUUAUAAAUAAAAAACAGAAAUAUCUGAUUUACGUAAGUAAUCAGACCCUUUGCUUUGAGACUCCAAAUUGAGCUCAGGUGCAUCCUGUUUCCAUUGAUCCUUAAGAUGUUUCUACAACUUGAUUGGAGUCCACCUGUGGUAAAUUCAAUUGAUUGGACAUGAUUUGGAAAGGCACACACCUGUCUAUAUAAGGUCCCACAGCUGAAAGUGCAUGUCAGAGCAAAAACCAAGCCAUGAGGUCAAAGAAAUUGUCCAUUGAGCUCUGAGACAGGAGUGUGUCGAGGCACAGAUCUGGGGAAGGGUACCAAAACAUAGCAUUGAAGGUCCCCAAGAACACAGUGGCCUCCAUCAUUCUUAAAUGGAAGAAGUUUUGAAAUAUCAAGACUAUUCCGAGAGCUGGCCUCAUGGCCAAACUGAGCAAUCAGGGUAGAAAGGCUUUGUUUAGCGAGGUGACCGAGAACCUGAUGGUCACUCUGGCAGAGCUCCAGAGUUCCUCUGUGGAGAUGGGAGAACUUUCCAGAAGGACAACUAUUUCUGCUGCAAUCCACCAAUCAGGCCUUUAUGGUAGAGUGGACAGAUGGAAGCCACACCUCAGUAAAAAGGCACAUGACAACCCGCUUGGAAUUUUCAAAAAGUCACCUAAAGGACUCUGACCAUGAGAAACAAGAUUCUCUGGUCUGAUGAAACCAAGAUUGAACUCUUUGGCUUGAAUGCCAAGCGUCACGUCUGAAGGAAACCUAGCACCAUCCUGUGGGGAUGUUUUUCAGCGGCAGGGUCUGGGAAACUAGUCAGGAUCGAGAGGAAAGAUGAACGGAGCAAAGUACAGUGACAUUCUUGAUGGAAACCUGCUCCAGAGUGCUCAAGACCUCAGACUGGUGCAAAGGUUUACCUUCCAACAGGACAACUACCCUAAUCACACAGCCAAGACAACAUAGGAGUGGCUUUGGUACAAGUCUCUGAAUGUCCUUGAGUGGCCUAGCCAGAGCCCGGACUUGAACCCGAUCGAACAUCUUUGGAGAGACCUGAAAAUAGCUGUGCAGUGACUCUCUCCAUCCAACCUGACAGAGCUUGAGAGGAUCUUCAGAUAAGAAUGAGAGAAACUCCCCAAAUACAGGUGUGUGAAGCUUGUAGCAUGCCCAAGAAGUCUCGAGGCUGUUAUCGCUGCCAAAGGUUCUUCAACAAAGUACUGAGUAAAGGGUCUGAAUACUUAUGUAUAUGUGAUAUUUCCAAUAAAAAAUAAAAAAUAUAAACUCAGCAAAAAAAGACGUUCCUUUUUCAGGACCCUGUCUUUCAAAGAUAAUUCGUAAAAUCCAAAUAACUUCACAGAUCUUCAUUGUAAAGGUUUUAAACACUGUUCAAUGAACCAUAAACAAUUAAUGAACAUGGACCCGUGGAACAGUCGUUAAGACACUAACAGCUUACAGACGGUAGUCAAUUAAGGUCACAGUUAUGAAAACUUAGGACACUAAAGAGGCCUUCCUACUGACUGAAAAACACCAAAAGAAAGAUGCCCAGGGUCCCUGCUUAUCUGCGUGAACGUGCCUUAGUCAUGCUGCAAGGAGGCAUGAGGACUGCAGAUGUGGCCAGGGCAAUAAAUUGCAAUGUCCGUACUGUGAGACGCCUAAGACAGCGCUACAGGGAGACAGGACGGACAGCUGAUCAUCCUCACAGUGGCAGACCACGUGUAACAAUACCUGCACAGGAUCGGUACAUCUUAACAUCACACCUGCGGGACAGGUACAGGAUGGCAACAACAACUGUCUGAGUUACACCAGGAAUGCACAAUUCCUCCAUCAGUGCUCAGACUGUACGCAAUAGGCUUAGAGAGGCUGGACUGAAGGCUUGUAGGCCUGUUGCUUCUACACCUGCAUUGCUUGCUGUUUGGGGUUUUAGGCUGGGUUUCUGUACAGCCCUUUGAGAUAUCAGCUGAUGUAAGAAGGGCUAUAUAAAUACAUUUGAUUUGAUUUGUAAGGCAGGUCCUCACCAGACAUCACCGGCAACAACGUCGCCAAUGGGCACAAACCCACCGUCGCUGGACUAGACAGGACAGGCAAAAAGUGCUCUAAACUGACAAGUCGCGGUUCCUGAGCGUAUAUCAUUUGUUGAUUUUUUUCUUUGUUGAUAUUUUUUUAUUUUUUAUUUGAUUAAUUAAUUAAUAAUAAACUAAGCAAUGAAUUAAACUAAAAAUAAGCCAUUUUAUUAUUUUUUAUUUCUUUAUUACAUUUACAUUUAAGUCAUUUAGCAGACGCUCUUAUCCAGAGCGACUUACAAAUUGGUGCAUUCACCUUAUGAUAUCCAGUGGAACAACCACUUUACAAUAGUGCAUCUAACUCUUUUAAGGGGGGGGGGGGUUAGAAAGGAUUACUUUAUCCUAUCCUAGGUAUUCCUUAAAGAGGUGGGGUUUCAGGUGUCUCCGGAAGGUGGUGAUUGACUCCGCUGACCUGGCGUCGUAAGGGAGUCUGUUCCACCAUUGGGGUGCCAGAGCAGCGAACAGUUUUGACUGGGCUGAGCGGGAACUGUACUUCCUCAGAGGUAGGGAGGCGAGCAGGCCAGAGGUGGAUGAACGCAGUGCCCUUGUUUGGGUGUAGGGCCUGAUCAGAGCCUGAAGGUACGGAGGUGCCGUUCCCCUCACAGCUCCGUAGGCAAGCACCAUGGUCUUGUAGCGGAUGCGAGCUUCAACUGGAAGCCAGUGGAGAGAGCGGAGGAGCGGGGUGACGUGAGAGAACUUGGGAAAGUUGA